rnacentral:rRNA from 1 species
GACGAACCGAGCGACCGUUGUUCGGAAUCACUGGGCUUAAAGGGCGCGUAGGCGGGCGGCCGCGUCCGGGGUGAAAUUCCACGGCUCAACCGUGGAACGGCCUCGGAUACGGGCGGCCUGGAGGCGGGUAGGGGCAGGCGGAACUGUGGGUGGAGCGGUGAAAUGCGUUGAGAUCCACAGGAACUCCGGUGGCGAAGGCGGCCUGCUGGACCCGAACUGACGCUGAGGCGCGAAAGCCAGGGGAGCGAACGGG